rnacentral:rRNA from 1 species
GACGAACGCUGGCGGCGUGCUUAACACAUGCAAGUCGAACGGAAAGGCCCGGCCUUUGUGCGGUGCUCGAGUGGCGAACGGGGGAGUAACACGUGAGUAAGCUGCCACUGACCGUAGGGGAACCUAAGGAAACAGGGGCUAAUACGGGCUAGGAGCUCCUGCUGCUGGGUGGGGGCGGGUAGGUUUAGGUGGUUGGGAAUGGACUAGCGGCCUAAUGGCUUGAUGGGGGGGUGGUGGGUGACCAAGGCUAUGAACGGUAGCCGGCCUGGGAGGGUGAGAUGCCAAAUUGCGCCUGAGAUACGGCCCAGACUCCUACGGGAGGCAGCAGUGGGGUAUAUUGCACUAUGGGCGGAACCAUGAUGCAGCAACGCCGCGUGCGGGAAGACGUCCUUCGCGUUGUAAUCCGCUUUCGCCUGUGACGAAGCGUGAGUGACGGUAAUGGGUAAAGAAGCACCGGCUAACUACGUG